rnacentral:rRNA from 1 species
GAUGAACGCUAGCGGCAGGCCUAAUACAUGCAAGCCGAACGGCAAGUCUGAUAGCAAUAUUGGACCUAGAGUGGCGCAAGGGUGCGUAACACGUAUGCAACCUGCCCGCGACAGGAGGAUAGCUCCCCGAAAGGGGAAUUAACCCUCCAUAACACCAUGAGAAGGCAUCUGAUUAUGGUUAAACCGCAAGGGGUCGCGGAUGGGCAUGCGGUUGAUUAGCUAGUUGGCGGGGUAAAGGCCCACCAAGUCGGUGAUCAAUAGGGGUUGUGAGAGGAAGGUCCCCCAAACUGGCACUGAGAUACGGGCCAGACUCCUGCGGGAGGCAGCAAUAGGGAAUAUUGGACAGUGGUUGCAAGACUGAACCAGCCAUGCCGCGUGCAGGAAGAAGGCCUUCUGGGUCGUAAUCUGCUUUUACCUAUAGAUAAAAUACCCGUGCGCGGGGAAUUGAAGGUAACAGGGGAAUAAGCCACGGCUAACUACGUG